UACGUAGGGGGGCUAGCGUUGUCCGGAAUCAUUGGGCGUAAAGAGCGUGUAGGCGGUCCGGUAAGUCCGCUGUGAAAGUCGAGGGCUCAACCCUCGAAUGCCGGUGGAUACUGUCGGGCUAGAGUGCGGAAGAGGCGAGUGGAAUUCCUGGUGUAGCGGUGAAAUGCGCAGAUAUCAGGAGGAACACCUAUUGCGAAGGCAGCUCGCUGGGACGUAACUGACGCUGAGACGCGAAAGCGUGGGGAGCAAACAGG
rnacentral:rRNA from 1 species